rnacentral:tRNA from 1 species
GGGCGAUUAGUUUAGUGGUAGAACAGAUCUCUCCAAAAGAUCUGGCGAGGGUUCGAUUCCUUCAUCGCCCG